GAUUGAAGAACGUAGCGAAAUGCGAUAAGUAAUGUGAAUUGCAGAAUUCAGUGAAUCAUCGAAUCUUUGAACGCACAUUGCGCCCGCCAGUAUUCUGGCGGGCAUGCUUGUUCGAGCGUCAUUUCAACCAUCAAGCCCUGCUUGCGUUGGGGUCCUGCGGCUGCCCGCAGGCCCUGAAAACCAGUGGCGGGCUCGCUAGUCACACCGAGCGCAGUAAUACAUCUCGCUUUGGGCGUGCGGCGGGUUCUUGCCGUUAAACACCCCCUUUUUACCAAGGUUGACCUCGGAUCAGGUAGGAAUACCCGCUGAACUUAAGCAUAUCAAUAAGCGGAGGA
rnacentral:misc_RNA from 1 species